rnacentral:rRNA from 1 species
CGGGGGGGGGGUGCUAAUACAUGCAAGUAGAACGCUGAAGAGAGGAGCUUGCUCUUCUUGGAUGAGUUGCGAACGGGUGAGUAACGCGUAGGUAACCUGCCUUGUAGCGGGGGAUAACUAUUGGAAACGAUAGCUAAUACCGCAUAACAAUGGAUGACACAUGUCAUUUAUUUGAAAGGGGCAAUUGCUCCACUACAAGAUGGACCUGCGUUGUAUUAGCUAGUAGGUGAGGUAACGGCUCACCUAGGCGACGAUACAUAGCCGACCUGAGAGGGUGAUCGGCCACACUGGGACUGAGACACGGCCCAGACUCCUACGGGAGGCAGCAGUAGGGAAUCUUCGGCAAUGGGGGCAACCCUGACCGAGCAACGCCGCGUGAGUGAAGAAGGUUUUCGGAUCGUAAAGCUCUGUUGUAAGUCAAGAACGAGUGUGAGAGUGGAAAGUUCACACUGUGACGGUAGCUUACCAGAAAGGGACGGCUAACUACGUGCCAGCAGCCGCGGUAAUACGUAGGUCCCGAGCGUUGUCCGGAUUUAUUGGGCGUAAAGCGAGCGCAGGCGGUUUGAUAAGUCUGAAGUUAAAGGCUGUGGCUCAACCAUAGUUCGCUUUGGAAACUGUCAAACUUGAGUGCAGAAGGGGAGAGUGGAAUUCCAUGUGUAGCGGUGAAAUGCGUAGAUAUAUGGAGGAACACCGGUGGCGAAAGCGGCUCUCUGGUCUGUAACUGACGCUGAGGCUCGAAAGCGUGGGGAGCGAACAGGAUUAGAUACCCUGGUAGUCCACGCCGUAAACGAUGAGUGCUAGGUGUUGGAUCCUUUCCGGGAUUCAGUGCCGCAGCUAACGCAUUAAGCACUCCGCCUGGGGAGUACGACCGCAAGGUUGAAACUCAAAGGAAUUGACGGGGGCCCGCACAAGCGGUGGAGCAUGUGGUUUAAUUCGAAGCAACGCGAAGAACCUUACCAGGUCUUGACAUCCCGAUGCUAUUUCUAGAGAUAGAAAGUUACUUCGGUACAUCGGUGACAGGUGGUGCAUGGUUGUCGUCAGCUCGUGUCGUGAGAUGUUGGGUUAAGUCCCGCAACGAGCGCAACCCCUAUUGUUAGUUGCCAUCAUUCAGUUGGGCACUCUAGCGAGACUGCCGGUAAUAAACCGGAGGAAGGUGGGGAUGACGUCAAAUCAUCAUGCCCCUUAUGACCUGGGCUACACACGUGCUACAAUGGUUGGUACAACGAGUUGCGAGUCGGUGACGGCAAGCUAAUCUCUUAAAGCCAAUCUCAGUUCGGAUUGUAGGCUGCAACUCGCCUACAUGAAGUCGGAAUCGCUAGUAAUCGCGGAUCAGCACGCCGCGGUGAAUACGUUCCCGGGCCUUGUACACACCGCCCGUCACACCACGAGAGUUUGUAACACCCGAAGUCGGUGAGGUAACCUUUUGGAGCCAGCCGCCUAAGGUGGAUGAGGUGG